GUUCUAUCCAACAUUGCAUCUGGCCCUGGAUUAGCUUUUCUUCGUAAAGAAACAAAAUGGGUAACGAGAAAAUAACUGAUACUACCCAUGCUGCUGUAACAAGAUGCUUUGCCCUUCGCCCUUUACGAGAAGUUAAUGUAAGACUCACAUGAUUUCGAGAAGUUCAUUGGGUGAGUUAUGGCGUCAUAGCGAUCGAUACUCAUAGCUACUAGCACAUACGUAGAGGAAUAUGUUACGCAAACUUGGGAAAAGCGUAUGAGCUUACAAGCAAUAUUACCGGCCCUCCAUGAAAUUGUUAUUCGCCAUAUUAUGUCGAACAAAAAGCACCGUAGAGUUACCGAGCACAAUAACAGUGAAGAGUAUCCACAGGACUGCGAACUGUUCCAUCUGAAAGAUAACAAAUUUGAAUAUUAUUAAUAAACAAUGAGAAAAAAAAUUAAUUUGACGAAAGCAUAGCAAAAUUUUCAGAAACGUCUUCGUUUCUGCCACGGUGAACAAACAUUAGGACAUUGACUACAUUUCUGCAGAAAAUUUGCUUAAACUUGAAAGGAUGACUUUGUAUCUCGUCUUUGAAAUUGAAAUAAUCGAAUUUAAAUGUUGUACUGUUGUCCGGCAAGUAAUAGGAUUGAUUUUCUUCCGCCGUGACUGUACUUCGGAACGUGCGCGCACCGACUGGAUUCAGUAGAAGACAUUCCUCGCUAACGAACGAGCGGCUGGUCAAUUUUCAGCGAGCACCUGGAGAGUCAGGACAAACAUUUUCGCGCGACGUGUUUCUGUGAGUGGUGCAAGCCGAAAAUACAGCGUUCGUUAGAGCAGAGGUACUCGAUUAAAUUCUGUGUGAAACUCGGUAAAUCUGCGACAGAGACGUUUGAUAUGAUCAAGCAGGCUUACCCAGAUAUUGCUUCAGCAAGAGGUGGUGUGUUUUGGUGCCUUUUUGGAGAGCCGGGAAGAGGUCGCUGAUGAAGACCGUGCUGAGAGAUCUGCGACUUCGACAAACACCGGCAAUGUGAUUCGUGUGCGCAAAGUUUUGAAUUCAGACCGUCGACUAGGUAUUCGUUUAAUUGCCCUGAUGUUAAAUUUAUCACAUUUGUUUUAAACAUGCGUAAGGUGUGCGCGAAGAGGGUCCCAAAAGUGCUCACUGACGACCCGAAAUUCGGGCGAUUGGGAGUGUGCCAAGAGAAUUUGAACAUACAUACAUAAGUUAAAGUGACCCCCAAUUUUUGAACGAUUCAUGGAUCUUUGAGUAUGAUCCCGAUACAAAGAGGCAAUCUUUCGAGCAUUUUGAGACGACGGACAACACAACACACACUCAAGGCUAUUCCGGAAAAUGCCUUCCGUGACACCUUCAAUGCUAGGAAAGAGCCUAUUUUGAAAGUUUUUAAAGAAUUGUAACGAUUGGUUAAAUAAAGUUUUUAAAAUCGACUCAGACUUGUUACUUUCCGCACUAACCCUGUAAUAAGUAAAAAGUUUGGUAGAAGUGGAUGAUUUUGUGUUCCAUUGUGUUAUCAAUAAUUUUUCAAUUCACUACUUUGUGUGUACGUACGCAUGUUUAUGUACAAAUAAAUGUGCAUUUAUAUUGUGGCCGUACGUGUAUACAAUAACGCAGGUAUUUAAGCAUUAUAUUGUUUAACGGCCCGCAAGCCCAUUUUUAGACGUUUAAUACGUGAUGCGCUGCGAAAAGCUUUUUUUGGAUAAAAUAUGAAAGGAAAAGCUAGCCGCUGAGAUUAAAGAUGUAAAUAUGUACGUCGCGACAGCAGUUACAUGCACAAAUACAAAUAUGUAUGUAUAUUGUGUCGCGCGUACGUACAUAGGUAUGUACGCACGAUUUGAAUAAUUGUAGUCAUGGCAACUAAGGCGUAGUGACAUCUUCUCAAGUCUGCUCAAGUCUGCUGUUCUGCCAGCCUAAAAAAUAAGUAAAAAGUAAAGUAAAAUCUGUCUGUCCUAAAGCAAAGAGCCCCUAAAGAGAAAAUAAAAAUAAUAAUCCGUAUGGGGUAGAAUUUACUUUCACUUGUACAUAUUUCUG